rnacentral:rRNA from 1 species
GAUGAACGCUAGCUACAGGCUUAACACAUGCAAGUCGAGGGGCAGCAUGAAGUCAGCUUGCUGACUUUGAUGGCGACCGGCGCACGGGUGAGUAACGCGUAUCCAACCUUCCCCUUACUCAGGAAUAGCCCGUUGAAAGACGGAUUAAUGCCUGAUGUUCUCUAUUUCCGGCAUCGGUAAUAGAGCAAAGAUUCAUCGGUAAGGGAUGGGGAUGCGUAUGAUUAGCUUGUUGGCGGGGUAACGGCCCACCAAGGCAACGAUCAUUAGGGGUUCUGAGAGGAAGGUCCCCCACACUGGAACUGAGACACGGUCCAGACUCCUACGGGAGGCAGCAGUGAGGAAUAUUGGUCAAUGGUCUGACGACUGAACCAGCCAUGCCGCGUGAAGGUCACGGCCCUAUGGGUCUUAAACUUCUUUUGCAAGGGAGCAAUAAGCCUCACGUGUGGGGCGAUGAGAGUACCUUGCGAAUAAGCAUCGGCUAACU